UGAAGGGCAUAGAAAUAUAACACCACAAUUUUAAGGGAGAGGACGGAGACAUCACUAUCUCCAAUAAUUAUUAAUAUAAAAACAGAAUUACCCUCUGCUAAAGAUAAGUUACCCAAAACAUCACAAACUAUGCAGGUUUAGCUCCUCCUCCUGUCAGUCUCUCUGAAUUUCUGUCACAUAUUUAAUGGCUCACACCUCCUCUCCUCCUACAGAAGCAAUGCUAUCUCUUUCCAAGUUCCAAGUCUCAACACACAGUGAAAUCAUGCUGGUGACUCUCUGUGCUCUCAUCACUGCUCUAACAUGUGUGAGUGGUGUGACGGUGCUGACACAGAAACCUCCUGUUUUAUCAGUGAGGAAAGGAGAGACAGCCACCAUGGACUGUAACCUGGGGACUGUUAGUUAGUAUACCUUUUGGUAUAAACAGAUUCCAGGAGGAGUUCCUCAGUUUGUGCUGUUUUUUCGUUAUGACUCUAGUUCUCCAACCUAUGGCUCUGGGUUCUCCUCUUCAAAAUUCACAUCCACUCAUCAGUCAACAUCAGAUUAUCGUUUGAUCAU